CGUCAACCCCGACGCCCUCCGCUUCCGCUUCGGCGAGGGACAUCGAUGACCUGCCGAAGAACACGGCCAACUAUCCUGUCGGUCCUUUCGGCACGAAGUAAACAGAAAAUGCAACUCAGUGCUGGGAGUUUAUAAAGUUGUAGAGGCAUGUCGUUUGGUGGCUGAUUGUUCAUUUGCGAGUCCAAGUUUGACAACCAACGAAAGCUGUUUACCAUUGAUUAUCGAGUUAAGAACGAGGACGAAGCAGCUGCAAAAGAAAAGGAGAGAGAAUGCCACGAUGAACACCGAGUAAAGUACUAACUUCUCAAGCAAAGAAAGAAGAUGCUUCCUCUAUGUUCUUCCCAAGGGAGCUCGCGCAUGGAUGCUUUUGGUGGAAAAGCUACUUCGUUUAUCUAAUCAUUGUUCGUUGAGACUAAUCUGCUUGAGCAUAAUUGCAAGGAAUAUUGGUACCUUCAUCCUCUCUGAGUUAUAGUCCACAAUGAGUUGAGCAAAAUGCUGUGUGCUUACCAAAAUAAUAUCUGAACUAGUGACCUCAAAGGAGUAUUUUACUAUAAAGUAAAUGCAGGUCCAUCAUGCUAUCUAGUUAAUUCCUCCCUUCUUUUCUCCCUGAAUAAUGCAAGACACUGGGUGAGCUUUGCAUUUUGCAUGUGAUGCUGAUCUCUAGUCUGAUUGCUGCUUAAACAGGCCCGGGUAUCUGGGUUUGGAGGAUGGUUCCUUUUGAGGCUCUUGCUUUAUGAUCCUGUUCUUCCUCUUAACAUUGAGGCACCAACUCACGAUGACGCUGUAAAACUUGGACUUGCCGUGCUUGGGGCUAUUAAGGAGUUUGCAGCUUUGGAUACAUCCGCUUUAGACAAGUUUGUUCAAGUAUCAUGAGCCGAUGAUGCAGAGCGCUUUGGUACAAGUAUCUUUCGGCACAUUAUACUGGCAGUUAAAGUCGGCUUUUGCGUCUACCUCUGUACAGUACGUAUAAUCAGUGCGUCAAUCUCUGAUUCUGAGGAGGUUCAUUUUCCAGAUGGUUUUCGUCACAGGCACUCAAAAUACUACUUGAUGGCUAUGUUUACUUUAGUUUUUACUUAUGUUCCAUGUAUGCAACAGAGAUGUUCUGAUAAAUAAGAAACGUUCUUCGACUACAGAAUUUUUCGGAGGGAUGUUUGAA